rnacentral:sRNA from 1 species
AAAAUUCGGAUAUUUGAGACCCACGGAGCUGAAACUCGCCGAAUGAGUGAGGGUGAAGCAAGGUCCCUUCCAAAUGACAUAUCUUCAGAGGCACCCGUGGGACAAGCAGAGCAGCAGCGGAGUACGCUCUCAGACCUGGGCUUCGCCCAACUCCAGCCCCCAGGGGACUUUGCCAGCCCCAAAGCCACACAUUCCACAGUGAUACCUCUGGCUACCAGACACUUCAGGGAGGACACUUCUGCAUCCUACCAGGAAGCACACACGGAACUAGAGCCCGUGUCCCCUGAUUCGGGCUGUGAAACCACGCUGGCAGAAGCUACUGGAACUGGGAGAGCAGGGCUGAGGGAGGGCUCCGAGGAGAAAGUCAAACCACCACGUCCCCGGGCCCCAGAGAGUGACACGGGCGAUGAGGACCAGGACCAGGAGAGGGACACGGUGUUCCUGAAGGACAACCACCUGGCCAUUGAGCGCAAGUGCUCCAGCAUCACGGUCAGCUCUACGUCUAGCCUGGAGGCUGAGGUGGACUUCACGGUCAUUGGUGACUACCACGGCAGCGCCUUCGAAGACUUCUCCCGCAGCCUGCCUGAGCUCGACCGGGACAAAAGCGACUCGGACACUGAGGGCCUGGUGUUCUCCCGGGAUCUCAACAAGGGGGCCCCCAGCCAGGAUGAUGAGUCUGGGGGCAUUGAGGACAGCCCGGAUCGAGGGGCCUGCUCCACCCCGGAUAUGCCCCAGUUUGAGCCUGUGAAAACAGAAACCAUGACUGUCAGCAGUCUGGCCAUUAGAAAGAAGAUUGAGCCGGAGGCCGUACUGCAGACCAGAGUCUCCGCUAUGGAUAACACCCAG